rnacentral:tRNA from 4 species
UGCGGGAUGGAGCAGUCUGGUAGCUCGUCGGGCUCAUAACCCGAAGGUCGUUGGUUCAAAUCCAGCUCCCGCGUCCA